rnacentral:rRNA from 1 species
AUCGGAAUUACUGGGCGUAAAGCGUGCGUAGGCGGUUAAUUAAGUCAGAUGUGAAAGCCCCGGGCUUAACCUGGGAACUGCAUUUGAUACUGGUUAACUAGAGUUUAGUAGAGGGGAGUGGAAUUUCAGGUGUAGCGGUGAAAUGCGUAGAUAUCUGAAGGAACACCAGUGGCGAAGGCGACUCCCUGGACUAAAACUGACGCUGAGGUACGAAAGCGUGGGUAGCAAACAGGAUUAGAUACCCUGGUAGUCCACGCCGUAAACGAUGUCAACUAGCCGUUGGUCCUAUUUACAGGAUUAGUGGCGCAGCUAACGCAUUAAGUUGACCGCCUGGGGAGUACGGCCGCAAGGUUAAAACUCAAAUGAAUUGACGG